rnacentral:rRNA from 1 species
CGUAGGUGGCAAGCGUUGUCCGGAAUUAUUGGGCGUAAAGGGCGCGUAGGCGGUCCCUUAAGUCAGAUGUGAAAUCCCGAGGCUCAACUUCGGGCGUGCAUUUGAAACUGGGGGACUAGAGUGCAGGAGAGGUAAGUGGAAUUCCUAGUGUAGCGGUGAAAUGCGUAGAUAUUAGGAGGAACACCAGUGGCGAAGGCGACUUACUGGACUGUAACUGACGCUGAGGCGCGAAAGCGUGGGGAGCAAACAGGAUUAGAUACCCUGGUAGUCCACGCUGUAAACGAUGGAUACUAGGUGUGGGAGGUAUCGACCCCUUCCGUGCCGCAGUUAACGCAAUAAGUAUCCCGCCUGGGGAGUACGGCCGCAAGGUUG